rnacentral:tRNA from 1 species
AACAUCACGCCGGAAGAACGGAUUACAUUGAUGCUGUAAAACAUAAGGUUUAUACCUUUGAUGUUU